AAACACUGGCGCUCAAAGAAAACACACUCUCUUCGAAAAAGUGUCCGCGGUCUCUGGGACCCGAUGUGCAAAGUGCUUGUGCUUGUAGGACUCCUCUUGUGGUGAUUAAUUGACUUCAUAUUCGCAACAUUGCUUAUUAGUUUUGUGUCAUCGAUUGCGACAUUGUUGUAGCAAAAAAAACGUGUGGUUGGUGUUGUGCGGAAUUUUACUUCUCUUAAACUAACAAAAAAAAAAGUUUCAAAAGCUGAUACGAGCUUUGAAUGUAAAGCUUUUGGACCUAAGUGUUGGGAACCUAUGUAGUGUUCCUCAGAAGUGACCAAAUUUCCUUAAAAGUGAUCAAAGAGUGGUUUUUGAGGAUUUUAGAGGACCCAAAAGGGUCCUUAUUUCUUAAGAGAAUUGAAGGAAGAAAAAAAGAAUUAGGAGUUAGGAGGUAGUUAGAAGGUUUCAGCUAUGAUCCGGAUAUCGCACCACUGAUGUCUAGUACAGUGUUUUAAAUAACAUUUAAGAAAAUUUAUAAAGUGACCGAGAAAACAACCCCCAUAGACUAAUAACGAAAAAGAAAAAAAAAAAACAAGUAAAGGGUGUUUUUGGAAGACUGCCACGCAAUGGACCCCGAAAGUUUUGCCAUGUCUUCCUAUCAGUUUGUGAACUCCCUAGCUUCGUGCUAUCCACAGUCGCAGCUGGCGCAACAUCAGCAAAAUCAUCAGGGCAAUGGAACAGCAACGAGUGGGAGUUCGGGUGCAAGUCAACCCGGACAGGAGUACUUUUCAGGCUCCUACACGCCCAACCUGUACCCAGGUACACCUCAGGCGCACUACAAUCAAAACUACCUGGGUGGGCAGCAAACUCAGAGCGGUGACAUGGUGGACUACACACAACUUCAGCCACAGCGACUUCUCCUGCCCAAUCAGCCACAACAGCAGGCACAGACACCGCAGCAGGGUCUCAGUUCGACCAGCUGCAAGUACGCCGGGCAGGAGUCAGGCACAGGUAGUGUGACCAACAGUACGUCCAUCUCAAGUCCGCAGGAUCUCACAACGGCGCGUGAUAUCAGCCCCAAAUUGUCCCCCAGCACAGUGGUGGAGAAUGUAGCACGUAGCCUGUCAAAGACUUCAACUGUUUCCUCAACGAAUGCAACAUCAAAUCACCCCGCGGCCGGCCUGGGGGCUAAUCAUACGACCAAUGUUCCCCUGCACAGCCCCAAUGGCGGGGAAUCAGACACAUCCAGCGAGAGCGGCAAUGAGGGUGGUAGCGGGGGUGGGACCCAGAGCAAUAACUCCAAGAAAGGGUCCGGCCCACCGCAGAUCUAUCCGUGGAUGAAGAGGGUUCAUCUGGGACAAAAUCUCCGGGACAAAAUCCGUGACGGUACGGUGAAUGCAAACGGUGAAACGAAACGCCAACGAACCUCCUACACCCGCUACCAGACGCUGGAGCUGGAGAAGGAGUUUCACUUCAAUCGAUACUUGACGCGGAGGAGACGGAUCGAGAUCGCCCAUGCCCUCUGCCUCACGGAAAGACAAAUUAAAAUUUGGUUCCAGAAUCGACGGAUGAAGUGGAAGAAGGAGCACAAGAUGGCAUCAAUGAACAUUGUACCUUACCACAUGUCCCCGUAUGGGCAUCCCUACCAAUUUGACAUCCACCCAUCGCAGUUUGCACACCUGAGCGCAUAGGACGCGUGGCACUUUUCGGGUACUGGUUAGAGACUCAAUCAGCUGUAUCAGGAGCCAUAUCAGGGGUACCAGAAUAAUCAGGACAACGUGCUGUUUGGCAGCAGCAAUUCUGAUUCUUCCAAGUAUCCACAAGACUUCUGAUCUCGUGGCACCCAAGAGAUCACCCUCUCUGGGGGCGUCGGACGCCCAGGGAUUCUCUCAAUCAUGUACAUGAUACAGCUGCUGUGAGAAAAAAUGAUCUAAAUUACUGGAAUGGCAUCUCAGAGAAAUUUUCAUCAUAACACCGCAUUAAAUCCUCGCACAUUCUUCCCUCCUCAAUUUUCCUGCCGCCCCCACUCCCCGUGUAAUUCAUCCUUCAUCAUUCAACACCCAAAACAGACUUCUUACCAUAGAGUUGGGGAAUUUUCUAGUUUGAAGAUUAUUUUGCAGAAAAUUUAUUUUUGAUUUUCAUGAAAAAUUUUUCCUUUGAUUGCUAUUGCUGUUAGAACAAAUUUUAAUCUUUUUUUUUAAUUCAUGAAAAUUAUUUAUUAAAAACUAAAACUAUCAGUAAAAUUCACUAUUCAGACAGACUUAAGAUUCCUUAAGAAAAAUUUUUUUUUAAGAUUCUUAAAGUUUUCUUAAGAUUCUUUAAAAAAAACUUAAGAUUUCCUUAGAAAAAUGUAAGAUUUUUAAGUUUUCUCAAGCAAAACUUAAGAUUUUUUCAUUCUUAAUCUUAAGUUUCGUUUAAGAAAACUUAAUGAUUUUGUUUUUAUUUGCCCAACAUCCUAAUUUAUCCAAAUCGGCUUGGGCUUUCUCCAUGAUCUCCUGCUCUGUGUAUCUUAAAUUUUUCUUAAGAACAUUCAAGUUUCUUCUUAAAUAAUCUUAAGAAAACUUUAGGAAUCUUAAGAAAAUUCAAGUAUUUCUUAAGGAAUCUUAAGUCUAUCUAACUAGUGAAUUUUACGCUAUGUCUUUUUAAAUAUCUUUAUUUAGAGGGAAAAUUAAAAAA